rnacentral:rRNA from 1 species
ACACAUGCAAGUCGAACGGUAACAGGAAACAGCUUGCUUCUUUGCUGACGAGUGGCGGACGGGUGAGUAAUGUCUGGGAAACUGCCUGAUGGAGGGGGAUAACUACUGGAAACGGUAGCUAAUACCGCAUAACGUCGCAAGACCAAAGAGGGGGACCUUCGGGCCUCUUGCCAUCGGAUGUGCCCAGAUGGGAUUAGCUAGUAGGUGGGGUAACGGCUCCAUCCCUAGGCGAGCCGAAUCCUUAGCCUGGUCUGAGAGGAAUGACCAGCCACACUGGGACUGAGAACACGGUCCAGACUCCUACGGGAGGCAGCAGUGGGGAAUAUUGCACAAUGGGCGCAAGCCUGAUGCAGCCAUGCCGCGUGUAUGAAGAAGGCCUUCGGGUUGUAAAGUACUUUCAGCGGGGAGGAAGGGAGUAAAGUUAAUACCCUUUGCUCAUUGACGUUACCCGCAGAAGAAGCACCGGCUAACUCCGUGCCAGCAGCCGCGGUAAUACGGAGGGUGCAAGCGUUAAUCGGAAUUACUGGGCGUAAAGCGCACGCAGGCGGUUUGUUAAGUCAGAUGUGAAAUCCCCGGGCUCAACCUGGGAACUGCAUCUGAUACUGGCAAGCUUGAGUCUCGUAGAGGGGGGUAGAAUUCCAGGUGUAGCGGUGAAAUGCGUAGAGAUCUGGAGGAAUACCGGUGGCGAAGGCGGCCCCCUGGACGAAGACUGACGCUCAGGUGCGAAAGCGUGGGGAGCAAACAGGAUUAGAUACCCUGGUAGUCCACGCCGUAAACGAUGUCGACUUGGAGGUUGUGCCCUUGAGGCGUGGCUUCCGGAGCUAACGCGUUAAGUCGACCGCCUGGGGAGUACGGCCGCAAGGUUAAAACUCAAAUGAAUUGACGGGGGCCCGCACAAGCGGUGGAGCAUGUGGUUUAAUUCGAUGCAACGCGAAGAACCUUACCUGGUCUUGACAUCCACGGGAAGUUUUCAGAGAUGAGAAUGUGCCUUCGGGAACCGUGAGACAGGUGCUGCAUGGCUGUCGUCAGCUCGUGUUGUGAAAUGUUGGGUUAAGUCCCGCAACGAGCGCAACCCUUAUCCUUUGUUGCCAGCGGUCCGGCCGGGAACUCAAAGGAGACUGCCAGUGAUAAACUGGAGGAAGGUGGGGAUGACGUCCAGGUCAUCAUGGCCCUUACGAACCAGGGCUACACACGUGCCUACAAUGGACGCAUCCAAAGAGAGAGCGAACCCUGCCCGCGAGAGCAAGCGGACCUCAUAAAGUGCGUCGUAGUCCGGAUUGGAGUCUGCAACUCGACUCCAUGAAGUCGGAAUCGCUAGUAAUCGUGGAUCAGAAUGCCACGGUGAAUACGUUCCCGGGCCUUGUACACACCGCCCGUCACACCAUGGGAGUGGGUUGCAAAAGAAGUAGGUAGCUUAACCUUCGGGAGGGCGCUUACCAC